rnacentral:rRNA from 1 species
AUUGAACGCUGGCGGCAGGCCUAACACAUGCAAGUCGAGCGGAUGAAGGGAGCUUGCUCCUGGAUUCAGCGGCGGACGGGUGAGUAAUGCCUAGGAAUCUGCCUGGUAGUGGGGGAUAACGUCCGGAAACGGGCGCUAAUUCCGCAUACGUCCUGAGGGAGAAAGCGGGGGAUCUUCGGACCUCACGCUAUCAGAUGAGCCUAGGUCGGAUUAGCUAGUUGGUGGGGUAAAGGCCUACCAAGGCGACGAUCCGUAACUGGUCUGAGAGGAUGAUCAGUCACACUGGAACUGAGACACGGUCCAGACUCCUACGGGAGGCAGCAGUGGGGAAUAUUGGACCAUGGGCGAAAGCCUGAUCCAGCCAUGCCGCGUGUGUGAAGAAGGUCUUCGGAUUGUAAAGCACUUUAAGUUGGGAGGAAGGGCAGUAAGUUAAUACCUUGCUGUUUUGACGUUACCAACAGAAUAAGCACCGGCUAACUUCGUG